rnacentral:tRNA from 1 species
GGAAAGGAGACCUCACUCCUCCCUAAGACU